rnacentral:rRNA from 1 species
UACGUAGGGGGCUAGCGUUGCUCGGAAUUACUGGGCGUAAAGCGCGCGUAGGCGGAUCGUUAAGUCGGGGGUGAAAUCCUGGAGCUCAACUCCAGAACUGCCUUCGAUACUGGCGAUCUUGAGUCCGGGAGAGGUGAGUGGAACUCCGAGUGUAGAGGUGAAAUUCGUAGAUAUUCGGAAGAACACCAGUGGCGAAGGCGGCUCACUGGCCCGGCAUUGACGCUGAGGUGCGAAAGCGUGGGGAGCAAACAGG